GUAGGUGAACCUGCNGAAGGAUCAUUA
rnacentral:rRNA from 1 species